rnacentral:rRNA from 1 species
GACGAGGGGUCCAAGCGUUGUUCGGAAUCAUUGGGCGUAAAGCGGGUGUAGGUGGCUUUGUAAGUCAGGAGUGAAAUCCCCGAGCUUAACUUGGGAAGUGCUUUUGAAACUGCAGAGCUUGAAUGUGGGAGAGGAUCGUGGAAUUCCAGGUGUAGUGGUGAAAUACGUAGAUAUCUGGAGGAACACCGGUGGCGAAGGCGGCGAAUCUGGCCCAACAUUGACACUGAGACCCGAAAGCGUGGGGAAUCAAAACAGGACUUAGG